GAGUAAUGUCUGGGAAACUGCCUGAUGGAGGGGGAUAACUACUGGAAACGGUGGCUAAUACCGCAUAACGUCGCAAGACCAAAGAGGGGGACCUUCGGGCCUCUUGCCAUCAGAUGUGCCCAGAUGGGAUUAGCUUGUUGGUGAGGUAACGGCUCACCAAGGCGACGAUCCCUAGCUGGUCUGAGAGGAUGACCAGCCACACUGGAACUGAGACACGGUCCAGACUCCUACGGGAGGCAGCAGUGGGGAAUAUUGCACAAUGGGCGCAAGCCUGAUGCAGCCAUGCCGCGUGUAUGAAGAAGGCCUUCGGGUUGUAAAGUACUUUCAGCGGGGAGGAAGGUGUUGUGGUUAAUAACCGCAGCAAUUGACGUUACCCGCAGAAGAAGCACCGGCUAACUCCGUGCCAGCAGCCGCGGUAAUACGGAGGGUGCAAGCGUUAAUCGGAAUUACUGGGCGUAAAGCGCACGCAGGCGGUCUGUCAAGUCGGAUGUGAAAUCCCCGGG
rnacentral:rRNA from 2 species